rnacentral:rRNA from 1 species
GAGUUGUCUGAACCUUCGGGGAACGAUAACGGCGUCGAGCGGCGGACGGGUGAGUAAUGCCUGGGAAAUUGCCCUGAUGUGGGGGAUAACCAUUGGAAACGAUGGCUAAUACCGCAUAAUAGCUUCGGCUCAAAGAGGGGGACCUUCGGGCCUCUCGCGUCAGGAUAUGCCCAGGUGGGAUUAGCUAGUUGGUGAGGUAAGGGCUCACCAAGGCGACGAUCCCUAGCUGGUCUGAGAGGAUGAUCAGCCACACUGGAACUGAGACACGGUCCAGACUCCUACGGGAGGCAGCAGUGGGGAAUAUUGCACAAUGGGCGCAAGCCUGAUGCAGCCAUGCCGCGUGUAUGAAGAAGGCCUUCGGGUUGUAAAGUACUUUCAGCAGUGAGGAAGGUGGUGUACUUAAUACGUGCAUCAUUUGACGUUAGCUGCAGAAGAAGCACCGGCUAACUCCGUGCCAGCAGCCGCGGUAAUACGGAGGGUGCGAGCGUUAAUCGGAAUUACUGGGCGUAAAGCGCAUGCAGGUGGUUUGUUAAGUCAGAUGUGAAAGCCCGGGGCUCAACCUCGGAAUUGCAUUUGAAACUGGCAGACUAGAGUACUGUAGAGGGGGGUAGAAUUUCAGGUGUAGCGGUGAAAUGCGUAGAGAUCUGAAAGGAAUACCGGUGGCGAAGGCGGCCCCCUGGACAGAUACUGACACUCAGAUGCGAAAGCGUGGGGAGCAAACAGGAUUAGAUAC